UACUAUUAACUGUUUAUUAAUUGUACCAUUCAGCGGUUUUUCCAUUAGCAAAAAGCAUAGGCGGCACUACAUUUAUUGCAACUUUAACACGGCCAAUUCGAUUUUCCACCAUCAAUUUUAUGCCAAUUUGGCGCAUAAAAAAGUAGCUUCAAACCUUAAUGAAAAACGAUAUAGGGUCAUUAACAUCCGACUCUUCCCAUUCGACCGUUCUGGCUGCCAUUUCGCAUAAAUGUGCAUAAAGUUAAAUAUGCAGCUGGGCGCACCCGCAAGUCAGGCUCCGAAGGCUACAACGAGUUUAAUUUCAUUUAAAUCUCGGCCCAUAAAAAAUACAUUCGCAUAACCGAUUGGUAUAAUUCAUUCGAACGCUCCGUCACAGCGGUUCAAACUAGGUUAAUGACAAGCUUAACGUUCACAGGUGGAAAAUUAAAAAAAAAUGCAAAAAAGGGAGUUCCGGGAGGAGCUGGUAAAAAUUCCAGCAAUAGUGUGAAAAUUUCAGGCCAGCACCAGCUGAAGGAGUAUAAAAAAUAUUGAACGCAAGGCACGUGGAUCGUUGUUGGGGAUCCGUAUCCGGAUUCCCUUUGCCAUUUUCAUGGGGGGUCGGAUUCCGGUGGGGAUUUUAUGUGCCCAAAAAUGUAAUUUAACUAGUGUUUUUCGUGGAAGCCCUUCGCAAAAAAAAAAAAAAAAAGAGCGGAAGCCAGAGCCAAAGGGACAUUUUUAAUCAAAAUUCACGCCACUCUGAUGUGGGUGAGCUUUUGUCCUGGCGAAAGUUAGAAAAUGAUGCCGUGGAUUUCCAACAUUAAAACAGCACGGCAUUGUUGUUGACAAAAUAUAUGAUUUUCAAUUUCAUUUGAGUGCGCCUCUCACUGGCGAGUAUUUUCAUGUCACGUGAUUCUGAAAUUUAAAAAUAUUAAAUGCUAGAAAAAAAUAAAUGUUUGGAUCAAGUUUUCAAACUAUGUUUAAAACAAAUCUGAAUUUGACUUUAAAAAUCUUACUUCUUACAGAGAUGUGCGGCCUUGAAUGACUCAGUCUUAGAACAGGAAUAUCCACUGUAUACUAACUCAGAACAAUGAGAACAUAAAAUUUCACAAAAAUAUUCUUGACUCGACGACAGACUUUGUGUGCGAUAUUUUUUAAUUUUUUGUCUUCUUCAUAACUUGGCCCAAAAUGCCACACAGGGAGUGCGGAUACAAAGGUCUGUUUGGAUCGUAAAAGCUACAAAAGCCAACCAGCCAAAUGCCAAUAAAUGGAACAACAAAAACCAAACCAGCACCAAGGAAUACCGAAAUGGAGCGGCAUAUUUUGUUUUUAUAUAGCAUUUUUAGUUACCACGGAUCUACCGCCAUAAAGCGUAGAAAUAAAAGCACUUAAAGUUUGUCAUCAGCUCGAUACAUAUAGCAAGUUAAAAUCGAACUCAAAUUGCGGCACUUAAGCCGGUCUAGAAGUUGGCUUUCAGUCCCACGGAAAUUUAUGACCUGGGUGAUAAUGCGAGGCGCCGCAAGGUGCAAGCCAUAACUGGAUUUCAAAUCACAGAGCCGGCCCUCAUAUGCAUUAUAAUGCUGAUAAGAUGACGAGCUGCAUCGCGAUGUGGCAUGCUGGCCAACUUCCGAUUUAUCUCAAUUGCUGGAAAUUGAAACGCCAGCGCAUUUAGCACCAAUUUAGAACACGAAAAGCUGAAAACUGAUACAUUCCAAAAGGGUUAACCGUACCGAACGAAUUCAUUCCAUUCGAAUCGAAUGUCUUCAUUUCACGACAGCCAACAGCGAAUGGCUUUGGCAUAUAAUCCAGUCUGCCUUUUUUUUUUUAGUCCCAUUAUGAUUAUUAUAAUAUAUUUCGUGAGCGGAGCUGUUAACUCUUUGAAAUUGGAGUAGGCCGAGUGAGUCGUUGGGCAGCGACGGCGGAAUGUGUAAUCAGAGAAGCGGGAAAGUCAUUGUAAUCUUGGGUGUUUAGUGGAUACAAAAAGAUGUGAAUAUAUAUUCGAGAAACAAAUAAAGAAAAAUCACAUUUACCUCAAUCGCAAACAGCUGUUGCCGCGGAAGUUAACGCCCUGCAAUAAAAAUCAUGGCCACAUAUCAAAUUAUUCGCAAAAAAAAAUACAAAAAUAAACGGGGGAAAAUAAUCUGUCCAAACACUUCAAAAUAAUUUGACAUCAACUCGCUUGAUUCCCACACGAAUAUCCAAGCACCAGCAAAAGAUUUCACAGAUAUCCUGAAAGAUUGUCAAACUAAUUUGGCGCAGGUAGUUUCCCAGUUUUGUGUGCGAGAUGCCUGCCUGGCUGCCUGCCCCCGAUCAUUAUGAAGAUGUUGAAUAAAAGUAUCGCAUGACAUGGUUCUAAAAA